rnacentral:rRNA from 1 species
UACGUAGGGUGCGAGCGUUGUCCGGAAUUAUUGGGCGUAAAGGGCGCGUAGGCGGCCUUUCAAGUGACGGGUGAAAUCCCUCGGCUUAACCGAGGAACUGCCUGUCAGACUGGGAGGCUUGAGACCGGGAGAGGUGAGUGGAAUUCCCAGUGUAGCGGUGAAAUGCGUAGAUAUUGGGAGGAACACCAGUGGCGAAGGCGGCUCGCUGGACCGGUACUGACGCUGAUGCGCGAAAGCGUGGGGAGCAAACAGG